AUGGCAGGGUUCGGCAGCCUGGCGCCCAAGACGAAGAACGUGGUGGUGGCGGGCGGGCUGACGGGGUUCGUCUUCGGGGUGUACUACUACACCAUGUGGGCGGUGGGCAGCACCGACGAGCUGCAGGUCACCAUCGACAAGUUUGAGGACCUGAAGAAGAAGGAGGAGGCCGCCUCCGCAAGCUCCUCCACCCCAGGAUCAUCAUAA
rnacentral:rRNA from 1 species